rnacentral:lncRNA from 1 species
UACAUCCAAAAACAAAUUAGCAUAUGGAUGGUUGCACUAUCUAUGGCAGUUAAAGUUAAGACCUUGAUAAAAGUAAGACUCACACUUCAACAUCUUAUGAAAGUCUCAGUAUAAGCAAAGCCACAAAGGGAAGUGAAAUGCAGGCACUGAAGGGAAGGAACUGUGGAUAGUAACUGACAGCUCAGUUAGAAGUGUGUUCAGCCACCAGGAUUCAGCAAUUUGGGAAACAGCAGAAGGUCAGCAGUGCACUGAGCCACCAGCACCAGGCAGAUCACACUGAGUCACAUGGGCGUAAAAACAAGUGCUUCCAUCCUGCCUGCACAGCAGCACUGUGUGGCAGAUGUCUGCACAUAAGCAGCAGUGCUACCUGUGCCAGAAAGUCAGCAGUCAGCAUCAACACUGACACCUUCUGACAUGCAGACAGCAGUGAGCUAAAGCACAAGGAUGGCACUGACACAGCACCGACACACAUCCAGCAGUCUUGUGCAGGCACAGCAGCAUGCAGAGCCUAGCCAAAUCAGCAGGAAAGAUGCUUUUCAACAGGUUAUAUGUUAGCAACCUCUGAUCCAAGCAGAUGGACUUCAGGAUGUUGCUGCAAUUCUAUAAUACCUUCCCCAUGUCUCACGCUGGAAGUCAGGGACAUCAUUUGCUUGAGGGCUUUGACACAAAACUGGGCUGCCAUGUCUCAGCUGCCAUCCAUCAUCAUUGCUGCAGAAGCUGCCCAGGUACGUGAGCUCAGCCCACAACUGUACAGGAUGAAGGCACUUACAUAUUCUACACUGCAGGACAGCAUCCUGGAUGCUCGUGGAUACCAUCACCAGAUGGUAGAAGUAUGUGAAUGUCAACCCCAUUGUAUCGCUCUACCCAUGAAUUAGAUCUUAUCACAGGCGUUCACAGGCUCAGUAUUUAGAUGCUGUCAUUUUCAGAAAGACUUCAAUGAUUUGAUAGCAGCUUUAGCAACUUGACUCAGUGUCAAGACUCACCCUGAGUUCUCAACCCAAUGCAUUC